rnacentral:lncRNA from 1 species
UCUGGUACCCUCAGGAUCGUGACCCAUUUGGGGUCAUGACACCAGGUUUCCCUCUGAUCAAACUCCUUAGGAAGGAAGAUGAAGAGGAUGUUAUUUCCAAGAUUUGCCCAGCAAAGGUCAAGAGGAAGCCGGGUGAAUGCAGGCUCAGUGGAACAAAGAGGACUCCUUGACCUCUUCUUCUUCCCAAACCUCUUGCAGUGGGGCAGGCAACCUGCCUCCUUUUGGUGUCUCUUCUGAUAGGAAGAUUGAUGAACUGCAGGUGGGAAAAGGAUCAAAGAGGACAGCCAGCAGCCCCUGGGGCUUCCCCUUUAGGAAAGAGAACAGCAAAGCAGGCUCUGUCAGAGAGUCUUGGAAUCUUGGAUGGAACUUUGGAGAGGAGAGAGAGACUCCCACAUCCCCGAGGUCAAGUGACAUGGAAGAGAGCUCCUCCCAGAGGUCGCUAUUGCCUGCUUGGCCUCCUCUUCCUGUGGAUGCUCCUGUAGUAUGACAGAUAUCCUGGUUCCCUCUGAUAUCUCCCCUGAUGAGGAAAGGACAAAACAACUGAAGAUGAAGACAGGAUCAGGGAGGAUGACUUUGAACUGCCACCUGAGUUUCAACUUCACAAAAUGCCCUUGAAGCAGCAGAAGGAUCUUCUUCUCCAGAGAAUACGCAAACCUCAGAUUCUGCUCUCGCCCGAAGUUGGGGACCGAGAGAAGGGAGAGAUGGGCUGGUCCCUGAAGCCCAGUCAGAUAUGUGGGAGUCCAGGAUGGCCAGAAGCCAGUCUCUAUGACCCGAUCACCCUCCUGGAGACCAACAUCAGGCAGAAAUAUCAGGCCUUCCUUCUGGGCCUGCAUGACAUCAAAUAGACUCAUCCGUGUCAGUGGCAGGGGAAGGAAGAACCAACCCGGCCUCAUUCCCAAUUCAACUUGAAAGCCUGGCACAGAGGGCAUAUUGAACAUGGUGUGAGCUCUGGCCGUGGAUCUGUCCUCUGGUGGUUCCCGGGGUACUGAUCCCCGAGCCCAAAAUUACCUCCCUGCCAUGGUGGCAUUGGCUGGAAACUGGUGUCCUUAAGGCUCCUGACAUCUCUCAGUGAAUACCUAAAAUGAAGUCCCCUUAUGGUUUGUUUUAUCUUACUUUCUCAAUGAAAUGGCAGAAGGAUAAGGAUCAUCGGCUUUCCUCCCUUCAGCCCCCCUCUUCUGCCAC